UUUCGAUUAAAAAAUCCCUAUUUGACCAGACUCCUUUUCCCAAAAUAGCUGGAAAAACCCGUGGACUUAAAAUUUUCUUUUUCCGGAGUGUUUUUACACAACCCUCUAUGAUAUUGAGCUGAUUUUUGGUGUGUGAGUCUACCUACAUGAUUAGAUGAAGUGCGAGUUUUGUUUCAGUCCAUUGAUUUUUGAGAAAGUUAUGGCCUGGGACUUUGGAAUGUUCUUUAAAAUAACGCUUCCAGUUCCACAUUUUUAUGUCCCCCUUCGAAGAAGAGGGGGUAAAUUGUUUUGCUCAUGUCGGUAGGUCGGUCCGUCGAUCCGUCAACCGAAUGGUUUCCGGAUGAUAACUCAAGAACGCUUACGCCUAGGAUCAUUAAUCUUCAUAGGUACAUUGAUCAUGACUCGCAGAUGACCCCUAUUGAUUUUCAGGUCACUAGGUCAAAGGUCAAGGUCACGGUGACUUGACACAGUAAAAUGGUUUCCAGAUGAUAACUCAAGAAAGCUUAUGCCUAGGAUCAUGAAACUUCAUAGGUACAUUGAUCAUGACUGGCAGAUGACCCCUAUUGAUUUUCAGGUCACUAGGUCAAAGGUCAAGGUCACAGUGACAAAAAACGUAUUUACACAAUGGCUGCCACUACAACUGACAGCCCAUAUGGGGGGGCAUGCAUGUUUUACAAACAGCCUUUGUUUUCAAAAACUCUUUCAGAUACUGUCUAAGGCCCGUCAAAUAUCAAUAGACAAUAACUUGGUCAUGAUGUUUUUAAUUUGGGCAUGCUUUGUGGCUUUAAAGCACAGUAGGGGGGCAUUGCAUUCCACAAUAGAACCCUUGUUUAAUUUACAUAGUAGAUGUGGGCACUUUAAUUUGUAAACAUAUCAGAAUGUUCACUUUUGAAACCUCUUGGGUUAAUAAAAAUGCAAGUACCUUUCUUGAACCAUAAUGAAAUGUUUCUGCUAAAAGCAAUGACAGUGCAUAGUGACAUAUGCGCUGCACUCUAUGAAAACUGGGCUGAAUGCAUGUGGGUAAAGUGUUGUCUCAUAUUAGCCUGUGUAGUCAGCACAGGCUAAUUAAGGAAGACUUCACUCAAAGGGAAAUGUUCAUUAACAGGACAUCUAUUCUUAAUGGAAAUGCAGUCUAGGUGGAAAGUGUUGUCCCUGAUUAGCCUGUGCAGACAGCAUUGGAUUAUCUGUGACAACCCUUUAAGCUCA